GCCGGGCGUGGUGGCGGCGCCUGUAGUCCCAGCUACUUGGGAGGCUGAGGCAGGAGAAUGGCAUGAACCUGGGAGGCGGAGUUUGCAGUGAGUGGAGAUCGUGUCAUUGCACUCCAGCCUGGGCGACAGAGCGAGACUCCGUCUCAAUAAAAAAAGAAAAAAAAAUUUUUGAGGCGGAGUUUGGCGCUUGUUGCCCAGGCUGGAGUGCAAUGGCACGAUCUCCACUCACUGCAAACUCUGCCUCCCAGGUUCAUGCCAUUCUCCUGCCUCAG
rnacentral:SRP_RNA from 1 species